UUUGGAGGCCUUAGUUGGUGGUUUUGUGAAUGGAAAUGGUGGUUGGUUUACGAUCUUGGUUGGUGGAGCAAUGGUGGAUCAUGCUGGGGGAUUUCGGUUGGAAAAGGACGAGAUUUAAGAGUUGUUUUAGUCGGUUGUUUGGUGGGUUUCUGGGAAUGGAGAAGAGAAGAGGGAGAGGGAGUCCCGGUUGGAGAGAAGAGGGGUGGUUGUGG
rnacentral:misc_RNA from 1 species